UUAAAGGCUUUUUUCUUGUCAUUGUGAAAAAAGCUUAGAAAGCCAUCAAAUUUUAAGUGAAGAAAUUGU
rfam:Podiceps cristatus contig111254, whole genome shotgun sequence.